rnacentral:rRNA from 1 species
AUGAUAUGCUUCUUCGCAGUCGAGUGGCACUUUGUAGACCGUGUGGCAAGACAAUUUGGAAGAAGACAAGGUAUUUCAAUUGAGGAGAGCAAGGAGGAAAUGCUAUCUCUGCAUCGGUUCGAACGAAGGAACAAUCAGGAUAUAUCGGAUUGGGCAAACAAACACCGUGCGUGGAUAGAAAUUUGGAAUCAAAGAGAUACGUUAGUGCAAUCAGAGAAUAGACCUCACAAUCAGUCAGCAUAUCAGAAGUAUCAAGUGUGGUAUGCGGAUCGUUACCGGUUAAAGCUGAAGCCUGGUUGGACUCAUGAGGAGUGGUCGGAGUUGGUGUCUGAAGACCCGGAGACUGCACAAGGUUAUCAAACCUUCAACACGGCUGUGAGAGACACCAGAGGGGCUCACGUUGACUAUGCACCGAUGCAGGAUGAAAUGGGCAGAGAGUUGCUUCUGUGCGUCAACGAUGCCAGUGUUGCACUGAGUCAUCCACCUGGUGGUGCAUUAUCUGAGAGGACUCUUAGGAGCACGAUGGAGAAGUUCAAGAAGCGGUUUCAUAAGAUGGCAGCAAUGCUUUCUUGCCAUGGUGCUCAGUCCAGUGAUGUGUAUGCACCUAUCUGA